CCUACGGGAGGCAGCAGUGAGGAAUAUUGGUCAAUGGACGCAAGUCUGAACCAGCCAUGCCGCGUGCAGGAAGACGGCUCUAUGAGUUGUAAACUGCUUUUGUACGAGGGUAAACGCAGAUACGCGUAUCUUUCUGAAAGUAUCGUACGAAUAAGGAUCGGCUAACUCCGUGCCAGCAGCCGCGGGAAUACGGAGGAUUCAAGCGUUAUCCGGAUUUAUUGGGUUUAAAGGGUGCGUAGGUGGUCGGAUAAGUUAGGGGUGAAAUCCCGGGGCUCAACUUCGGAAUUGCCUCUGAUACUGUUCGGCUAGAGGGUAGGUGAGGUAGGCGGAAUGUAUGGUGUAGCGGUGAAAUGCGUAGAGAUCA
rnacentral:rRNA from 1 species